rnacentral:rRNA from 1 species
AUUGAACGCUGGCGGCAGGCCUAACACAUGCAAGUCGAACGAGCGGCGGACGGGUGAGUAAUGUCUUGGAAACUGCCUGAUGGAGGGGGAUAACUACUGGAAACGGUAGCUAAUACCGCAUACCAUCAUAUGUGCCCAGAGGGGAUUAGCUAGUAGGUGGGGUAAGGGCUCACCUAGGCGACGAUCCCUAGCUGGUCUGAGAGGAUGACCAGCCGCACUGGAACUGAGACACGGGCCAGACUCCUACGUGAGGCAGCAGUGGGGAAGAUUGGGCAAUGGGCGCAAGCCUGAUGCAGCCAGGCCGCGUGUAUGAAGAGGGCCUUCGGGUUGUAAAGCACUGUCGGCGGGGAGGCGUUACCCGCAGAAGAAGCACCGGCUAACUCCGUGCCAGCAGCCGCGGUAAUUC